rnacentral:rRNA from 1 species
GGCCAGGGCUUUUGAGCGGCGAUGUCUGAUUAGCUAGUUGGUGAGGUAAAGGCUUACCAAGGCGACGAUCAGUAGCUGGUCUGAGAGGACGACCAGCCACACUGGGACUGAGACACGGCCCAGACUCCUACGGGAGGCAGCAGUGGGGAAUUUUGGACAAUGGGGGAAACCCUGAUCCAGCCAUGCCGCGUGAGUGAAGAAGGCCUUCGGGUUGUAAAGCUCUUUCAGCCGGAACGAAACGGUCACGGCUAAUACCUGUGACUACUGACGGUACCGGAAGAAGAAGCACCGGCUAACUACGUGCCAGCAGCCGCGGUAAUACGUAGGGUGCAAGCGUUAAUCGGAAUUACUGGGCGUAAAGCGUGCGCAGGCGGUUUUGUAAGUCAGAUGUGAAAUCCCCGGGCUUAACCUGGGAACUGCGUUUGAAACUACAAGGCUAG